GGAUGUAACCGGCUUGUUAUUAACUCGACAAAUAUGGAAGUAAUUGAUACAAUGAAGAACGAAGGACGGUCUACGGGAGCGGCGGCAGUAGGUUUUGAUGAUUACUAUUUUCUGGCUUGUGUUUUUCCUCUUAGUAGUUUUGAACAUUGUAAUAGAGAGGCGAACAUGGUCGCUCAUGAACUUGCUAGGUUAGCAAAAUUUUCAAACAGUAGGGACUUGUUUGAGGAGUUUAUGGAUGAAAUUUUACCUUUUAUUACAGACGAUGUAACCGUUAUUUCUAAUUAA
rnacentral:rRNA from 1 species